AUUGAACGCUGGCGGCAGGCCUAACACAUGCAAGUCGAACGAGUGGCGGACGGGUGAGCAAUGUCUGGGAAACUGCCUGAUGGAGGGGGAUAACUACUGGAAACGGAAGCUAAACCCGCAUACCAUACCCUGUGACCAGAUGGGAUGAGGUUGUAGGUGGGGUAACGGCUAACCAGGGCCACGAUCUCUUGCUGGUCUGAGAGGGUGACCAUCCACCCUUGAACUGGGACACGGUCCAGCAUCCUCCGGGUGGCAGCAGUGGGGAAUAUUCCACAAGGGGCGAAAGCCUGAUGCAGCAGUGCCGCGGGUAUGAAGAAGGUCUUCGGGUUGUAAAGUACUUUCAGCGGGGAGGCGUUACCCGCCGAUGAAGCACCGGCUAACUCCGUGCCAGCCGCCGCGGUAAUAC
rnacentral:rRNA from 1 species